rnacentral:lncRNA from 1 species
AUGUCGUCCUCCUCCUCCUCCUCCUCCUCUUCCUCAGGCACAGCGGGUCCAGAGACCCCUCAGGACUUUUUUCAGGACCCCUCAGGACUUUUUAUUCCCGUGACCCUAACACUGAAAAUGUUGAUGAGGACGUGUGCGGUACUGAGACCUGUAAGCGUGUGCAUGCUAUUUAUGUCACCUGUUGUUUGUUUUUUUUUUCGAUUAGGCAGCAGAUCUAUAAACAUUAACAAGUGGAUAAUUAAAGUUCUUUACACAAACUUUUACCGACACGACACACAAAUGUACUGUCUGUACUGUCUGUUGAGUCUACAGCACGGCGUCUACAGCGUCUCCGAUACAGAUACAGUCGAGACCGGUUCUUCUGAGGGUUGUUUCUCCAUUUGUUCCUCAAGACUUUGAGGGUCUUGAGGGGACCCUUCGUACGAUUCCUCCAGGGCAUCUUUGGAGGGUGUAGUGUAGGGUUCCUGUAAGGGCACUUUACCACCGGACUCCAUUAGGAGUUUUUCACAAGGUUCUUCCAAGGACACUUCACACGGAUCACAGGGAUCCAUCUGCUGCUCCUCACUGGAUUCAUCAAACGAUACGCUACACUCUGCUUUUAAGGGCUCUAGAUGGUUUUCCUCUGAAGGUUCUGGAGAUUCUGCUCUCUUGUUCUCUUGUGUUUCCUUGGCCGUCUCAUCGGUUUGCAAGGGACUUUCGCCACCUUGAGAAGGAUCUUUCUCAACUUUCUCGAACUGGUACUCCACACGUUCUGGACUGGGAUCACUGUGCGUGAGGUCGGAGUCGUUCAGCUUGUCCUCGAGCUCUUCGCUGAUAGGCUCGGCUUGGUCCAUGCUCACGUCUGAAAGUGCGAGAGGCGGCGGGGGAAUGUACUCGUGCGGGCUCGCGGCCAAAUCCGUCUGCUCAACGGACGUCUCUCCGACGUUGAGGUCCUUGAACAGCAUGAAGCUUGGUGCUAGCGGUUCCACCGGGUUGCUCUGCGAGUCGGAACUGGGCAUGCUCAAGCAAUCCGUAAGAGGGUCGUCUCGUUCUUGGCCGUCUUCAGUUUGAGCCGGGUCCAGGAAUUCCGCUUCCAGUGCGGGCGUACCCAAGAUAGGGUCCGCUUCGGUGAAGAUGUCGGAGGUUUCAGCGUGGUCCGAGCUUUCCCACGGCGUCUGAAGCUCGUUCAACUCCACCGACGGUGCCAUUAAACCGGUCUCCUCUGAGGAACCUUGCUCUCCCACUAAAACGUCGCUCCGGAGCUUCCCAGCUAUGGAAUCAGCCAUGUCUCCUUGUGCACCACUCAGCUCUCCUUGCACGCCGUACGAGUUUAGCAUACUCUGUCCAGCAGACGCUGAGUUAAAUGGAAAUCCAUUGAAGGCCUCCUUGCCGGACUUGCCGUGGAGCGAAUCCGACGCCA